rnacentral:rRNA from 1 species
GUGGGGAAUAUUGCACAAUGGGCGAAAGCCUGAUGCAGCAACGCCGCGUGAGUGAUGAAGGUCUUCGGAUUGUAAAGCUCUGUCUUUUGGGACGAUAAUGACGGUACCAAAGGAGGAAGCCACGGCUAACUACGUGCCAGCAGCCGCGGUAAUACGUAGGUGGCGAGCGUUGGUCCGGAUUUACUGGGCGUAAAGGGUGCGUAGGCGGAUGUUUAAGUGGAGAUGUGAAAUAC